GNGGAAUAUUGCACAAUGGGCGAAAGCCUGAUGCAGCCACGCCGCGUGAGGGAUGACGGCCUUCGGGUUGUAAACCUCUUUCNGCAGGGACGAAGCGCAAGUGACCGUACCUGCAGAANAAGCACCGGUUAACUACGUG
rnacentral:rRNA from 1 species